CUUCAGGCAGCACAAUACGUUUUCCUUUCCUGAGGUUUUCUUAUGUGUGUGUGCAUGUCUGUAGUUAAAUGGAAGACGGAAUUAUCAAAAGGAGUAAAAAAGGGAACUAAAGGAGGAGUGGAGAGUGGUUCUGUCUUGAAAUUGAACUGAGAAAGAGUAACAAAAGAAAUGGUCUGCUGUUUGAAGAGGAAGCUGUGAAUAAGAAUAGCACAAGAAGAUAAACAGCUACUUCAAAACAAAUUUUUCCAGCUCUCUUCCAAAUACAAAACGUUAUUGCGAUGUGCUGUGCUGCAAUUGAAGGCAUCUUGGUUGUGACAGGAAAAAAAAAAAAAAAAAGGAGCUACUGAAUUGCUUUGUAUUUAAGCAGACGCUCUGGAAGUCUGAGAGCAUGUGUUUUAUGUGCAACUUCUGACAACCUAGGGAAAAGAGAAGUGAGACAACGAUAUGAUCUGUGGCUUCUCUGGAUUCCCUGCCUCACCAUCCCUAGAGUCAUGGGUUUUAAUAACCUGGGCUGGAACAACAGAAGUGUACCAGGAAGGAUCCAUCCAUCCCCUCUCAUGCACGAUGCCAGCCCUCAGGAGCAAAAAGAUUUAUUUCUUCACACCUGAUGUGUGUUUAUUCCAAUUCGACCUCACUGAGUUUUCCACCUUUGUAUGCAUCAGCCAAAGCCCAAAGGAUGACAGGUUGAGCAUCAUCUUUGGAUCAGCCACACAGGAGGGUCCGGUGGGAGUGCUCCAGAAUCACAAAACCUCACUGAAAUUUCACUGAGCAUCUGCCCGAACUGUCAGACUGAAUCUGUCAGAUAUGAGAGCAUCAGGAACAGGCUGCAAGAUUAACUGACUCCUCAAGGUUUAUUCUAGCUUUUUUUCUACGAUUCUAAAACCUGGACAGCCUUAAUGUUGCACAGUUGUGGUCUGCAGUUCCAAUUCCUGUUUCAAAGAAAUGGCUUUCAAGUAGGCGGGCGCUGUGUGGCACAUAGCCUUUCCCAGCCUGGAAGAGGUGUGCUGCGUGUAAUUGUGUAUUUAUGCGAUGCUGUGAGAGUGUGCUCACCCUCACCUUGGAGCUGGAGGUGCUGCUCACUGCACCCGGAGGUGAAGAACACAACUUCAUCCUUGCGGUGAGGAUAUGUGCCAUCAACCCUUUCUCUCUCUGAGAGCUGAAACUCCCUGUUGAUCUCCAAAUAACAUUUUUUUUCCUACUCGGGCUCUGUCAAUGCAUGCUAACCUUAGUGUAAACAGUUUUUCAUAGAAAAAUUCCCUCAGGACAACUUCCAGCUUGAUUUUUGAGGAGUUGCUUAGCCGUAAUCAUGCAGAAUUCUCUAGGUUUCAAGCGGCGUGCCUCCUGCUGAGGUGUUCUGCCUGCUAAUGAUAGGAACUCAAGCUGUUCAUUUUGUCUAGGCAAGGGCACUUGAAGGACAGCUCUCUGCUUUCGCCAUCCCUCUGUAUCUUCUAUGAGACAAACUGCAGAACUUUGGCAGAGAAAGUGUUGCAGUCCCUUCCUUAGUAAGCCUGCCUCUGAGAAUUGAUGGGUGAUACUGCCGAGAAUGAGCCACUUGUUUCUGACUUUUCUAAGAGGUUGCUAUAGGAAGAUUUCCAUCUUCUUCUGAAAAUGGUGAAAAGAAGAGUAAGUGAUGCCCAAAGUGAAAGCUCUGUCCUCAGAAUGAAGAUUUACUACAGAAACACCAGGCAGAUACUUAAGAGUGGAUUUGGAGUUUGCAGUGAAAAUAACAGUUCACUUAGUUCCAGGCAAUGCUCUCUCCUCCAAAUUAUUGCUUCUUUAUAUAGGAAUUAGGUUUAUUUUAGCAGGCUUCAACAGCAGAACUGUUGCAAACAUAGAAAAGGUUGUUAGAGUCUUUGCUGUACCACUUGGAAGCAUUGCACUACACUUCUGCCUUCUCCAAAGCAGACUGCACCCUGGUGAAGCCCAGCUCCAAAUGAUUCUAUGAUUCUAAGUGGCACUUGGGUCAUCCACGCCUUCAUCUGAAGGGGAAAGUACCUGCAUCUCCACCUGCUGCUUUGUGAGUCAGGUACACGUGCCUCCAUCUCCCCGUGCCUUCCAAGCACCAUCUGUAAGUCUUUUCAAAGAAAAUUCAAAGAAGGUAUGGACAGUUUGCCCCACCAUGUCUUCCUUACACAUCACAACAAUGCAUUAUGUCGUUCUUCUAGACAAGUGCUCAGUCUGAGAUGCCUGACAGUGGGCAUUUCAAUAGUGGGCUCUAUUUAUACACAAUGUAUCUGGAACAACAAAGGGUAAUGAAUCACUUUACUGGCUGUAUGCAUGCAAUUAAUAUAGCAUUAGUAAUACAGGGGAUGGUAGCCCGUGUUAACAUUGCCUGCCAGCUAAAUUCCUAUAAAUAAUUGUCUGCUCGAAUUUAACUCAUUUAUUUGUCAGUGCUCAGAAUACAAAAUAAUUUGUCCUGCAACAGUGGCUCUGUCUCCUUGUUAAGCUGGCACGUUGUUUCCUUUGGUAGCAAAUGAAUGAAACUUGGGGCUGUGUUAGCGGCUUCAAAACUAUUGGCUGAGCCAAGCCCUCUAAUAUCUGCUUGUGGCAGAGUUGUACACAGCGAAACAAAGUCAGCACAAGGAAUAGAAGACUGGAGAAACCGGAGUGGUGGGGAACACAAUAAGGAAAAUGAGAAGAUUGCCUCUGGCAGCUUCAGGCCAAGCUGCCGGGAUCCCAAGGCUUCUGCAGCAUGGGAUGUGGUGACUGCUGGCUCUCCCCACCUGGAGACAGUUGAUAUUGAAGAGCUGUAGUCAAUGACAGAUGAUUUCAGCAUUCAUUGCAGGUGUGACUGCACCUAUAUAUUCCCUGUAGAGCUCCGCAUUCACCUGAUGCUGAUAAAUCAUUCUUUCUAGGUAUAAAAUGUGGGGUUCAGAGGAGAAAAUGUAUAGCAGGACCCAGCAAGGUGAGUGCAUUUGGGUAUUAAACAUGGCUGAGAGAGAUUUCAAAUUCCAAUCAUGGCUUUUCCCAAAGUAUUUGUUCUGCCCUAUCAGCUAAUACAGCAACGGUGCAUAUAUUAACAUCCUGGAAUUGAAAUAGAGAUCAAGGGCAUAGGGUAUAAAUUGGUUUUACAGCAUAACGUUAAAUAAUCAAACCAUACUGGAGCAGCCUCUGUGACAAAAUGACUUACAUUUUUGGUGCCGCUUUUUAAAUGUGAUUAUGCAUUUUAAUUGUUUAACUCCAGUCUGUGGAGUAGUUUCAAAGAUGUUUUAAAAUAACUUACAGCAUGAAAAGCCGCCUGAUCUUUAAAUACACCUCAGGUUCAAUAAAUUUGUUUUUAAUUUCGUGUGAUGUGUGAAAUAGUAAUUUUGUGCAGUGCUUUCAGGGGAGUGGAGAGGGAUUUCAUAAAACAGGCCGGGACAAGGAGGGUACAACUGCAUAAAGGCAGUAGGAAUUUCCAUGCUGCUUCUCGUUGUGUCUCGCUGUAAGAACACAGUGUUUGGAAGAGUGGUGCACUCCUGCUGUUUUAAGCCUCAGAAUGAACAGCACUAUGGUGUAAUGGGGCUUCACACAGAGAUAUGAAGGUGGCAGGUUUGUCCUGCUCCGCUCCUUCAGCCAUCCAUCUCACCGUCAUCUCCCCAAAGCAGAACUCUGUCCCUGGCUUGAGGGGGUCCAGCUGAAUGUAGGGCCCUUGAUGAGCCUUUGAAUUUGCUUGAGCACUCUCCAGAUCCUCUCCUAUGAAUAUGAGGCAAGAAUGGGUUAAUUCCAGACACAUUUCACAAGCUCAAUAACAUGUGAAAACUGAGAUGGAAAUCUGCACUUUAUUUGUUUUCGGUCCUGAUUAUUUAGAGAGCAGAAAAUCAUAAUUUACAGUGCCAAUUUUCGGUAUUUUUAACCAGAUCAUGGCUUAAAAUACUGGAAAGAUUUAAGAGAAAUAACAAGACACCAUCUGCCUGUUUUUUU
rnacentral:lncRNA from 1 species